UACGGGGGGGGCAAGCGUUGUUCGGAAUUACUGGGCGUAAAGGGCUCGUAGGCGGCCAACUAAGUCAUACGUGAAAUCCCUCGGCUUAACCGGGGAACUGCGUCUGAUACUGGAUGGCUUGAGUUCGGGAGAGGGAUGCGGAAUUCCAGGUGUAGCGGUGAAAUGCGUAGAGAUCAGGAAGAACAUCGGUGGCGAAGGCGCUCUGCUGGACCAUAACUGACACUCAGGGACGAAGGCUAGGGGAGCGAAUGGG
rnacentral:rRNA from 1 species